UUAUGGAUUUGGAGUGACAUGAGGGUGAGUAAAGUAUGACAAUUAACAACACCCUUUAAAAUGUAGCCUUAAGUUGUAAAUUGCUGACUAAUUUCAUGUUUUCAUGUUUUCAUUGAUCCUGAAGUGCCUAUGUGUCUACCUCAGCAAACACCUGAGACACUCGUUAAAGAAUAUGUGGUUUACAAAAGUAGCCUUGGCAAACUUGAAGGGCAUUCAUGGUCUAUGAAAAUGAAGAGGCUAAAUCUGGGAUUGUACUGUACAGACAACAACCAUAAGAAUCUACGUCAUUUGGGCAGAAGGUGUUGAUCCUGGAGACGAACCUACAGAUGUUGGUAUGGUACUUGAAUGUGUGUAAAUUCUGCAAAACCUGCUGAGUGUACCCUUGGAUGUGGGAUGCUUUUUGGACUCAUAUGAUCAUAUAAUCUCAUAUAAUCUUAACAAUCAGAAAGACCUCAAGUGCACGUUUGAAGAAUUUUAGAAAAUCCUGAUGGAACUGGAUUAAACCAGGCUGUCACCAAAAGUCCAAGCACUGAAAUUGCGAUGC